rnacentral:rRNA from 1 species
UCGUCAGAUCACCGAAGUCAAGCAUCAUUGGGCGCGGUCAGUACUUGGGUGGGUGACCACCUGGGAACACCGCGUGCCGUU